AUAAGGAUGAACCCGUCUCUGUGGCAAAAGAGUGGGAAGAUCUAGCAGUAGCAGUGAAAAGCCUAUCGAGCCUGGUGAUAGCUGGUUGCUCAAUAAAUGAAUUAAAGUUCGACUUUAGGUUACCCACCAAAUUUUAAAUUCCAUAUAACCUAAAAGCUAGUCAAUAAGGGUACAGCUUUAUUGACAUUGGAUACAACCUCCACUAGAGAGAAAGAAAUACUACUUACCCCGUAGGCCUUAAAGCAGCCACCAAUAAAAAAAGCGUCAUAGCAACACAACAACAAAUACCUUAUAUAACAACUAACUCCUAGCAAAACAUUGAGCUAAACUAUAAUUAUAGUUAAACUUCUGCUAAAACUAGUAACAAGAAACAUUCUCUCUGCACCCCUGUAACCCAGAAAUAGAAAAACUACUGGACCUUAACAGACCAAAAUAGGCACAACACAACCCAUUGUACCAACCACUGUUAAACCAACACCGGAGUGCUAUCAAGAUAGAUUUAAAGUUGUAUAAGGAACUCGGCAAAAUUUACCCCAACUGUUUACCAAAAACAUAGCCUUUAGCAAUACAAGUAUUAAAGGUCCCGCCUGCCCAGUG
rnacentral:rRNA from 1 species